rnacentral:rRNA from 1 species
AUGGUCAAGGAUUUGAAAGUCAUCUUUGGAAAGGGUCCUGGCGGACAAUUAGUUCCGAAGGGAGCUGACGGGCACGCAGCCAUGUGGAAGAAGAAAUCUAUAUUCUGGGAGCUAGAAUAUUGGAAAGUCCUAGAUGUCCGCUCUGCAAUCGACGUGAUGCACGUUACGAAGAAUAUUUGCGUGAACCUCCUAAGCUUCUUGGGCGUGUAUGGGAAGACAAAUGAUACAAAGGAAGCACGGCAGGACCAGCAACGUUUGAAAGACCCUGAUGACCGGCAUCCGGAAUGGUUUCAAGGUCGUGCCAGCUACGCUCUGACCAAAGAAGAGAAGGUCAUCUUUUUUGAAUGCCUGAGCAGUAUGAAGGUCCCGUCUGGAUUCUCGUCCAAUAUAAAGGGAAUAAUAAACAUGGCGGAGAAAAAGUUCCAAAACCUGAAGUCUCACGACUGCCACGUGAUUAUGACGCAAUUGCUUCCGAUUGCUUUGAGGGGGCUCCUGCCGGAAAAUGUUCAAGUAGCCAUUGUGAAGCUAUGUGCAUUCCUCAAUGCAAUCUCUCAGAAGGUAAUCAAUCCAGAAGUUCUACCACGGUUACAGAACGAUGUGAUCCAAUGCCUUGUCAGUUUCGAGUUGGUGUUCCCGCCAUCCUUCUUCAAUAUUAUGACGCACCUCCUGGUUCACCUAGUCGAAGAGAUUUUCGUUCUCGGUCCUGUAUUUCUACACAAUAUGUUCCCCUUCGAGAGGUUCAUGGGAGUAUUAAAGAAAUAUGUUCGUAACCGUGCUAGGCCAGAAGGAAGCAUCGCCAAGGGCUAUGGAAAUGAGGAGGUAAUUGAGUUUUGUGUUGACUUUGUUCCUGACCUUAAGCCGAUUGGUCUUCCUCGAUCGCGGCACGAGGGGAGACUAAGUGGAAAAGGCACGAUCGGAAGGAAAUCAACGAUAUGUAUGGACGGCCAUUCUCUGACUGAAGCACACCACACUGUACUGACCAAUUCCAGCUUGGUGGCUCCGUACUUUGAGAAACACAAGAAUAUUUUACGCUCGGACAACCCGGGGAAGCCUGAAUCCUGGAUUAGGAAAGCCCACAUGGAGACUUUCGGCAGUUGGUUGAGAAAACAUUUAAUGAAUGACAAUGAUGUUGUAGAUCAGCUGUACAUGUUGGCCAAGACACCAUCUUCGACUAUAACGACUUUCCAAGGGUACGAGAUAAAUGGGAAUACAUUUUACACGAUCGCCCAAGAUAAAAAGAGCACCAACCAAAACAGUGGUGUCCGCUUUGAUGCAGCAACCGAGAAUGGGCAAAAGGUCACAUAUUAUGGUUACAUAGAGGAGAUAUGGGAACUUGACUAUGGACCCUCCUUUAAGGUCCCUUUGUUCCGGUGCAAAUGGUUCAAGCUAACAGGAGGUGGGGUAAAGGUGGACCAGCAAUACGGAAUGACAAUGGUGGAUUUCAACAAUCUUGGUUACCUUGACGAACCAUUCGUCCUAGCGAAAGAUGUCGCUCAGGUUUUCUAUGUGAAGGACAUGAGUAGCAAACCAAGGAAACGGAAAGAUAAGAAAACGAUCAGUGCAUCAUGCGAUGAUCCAAAGCGCCACAUUGUUCUUUCAGGGAAAAGAAACAUCGUGGGAGUGGAGGACAAGACAGACAUGUCAGAAGAUUAUAAUAUGUUUGCUGAAAUUCCGCCCUUCAAAGUGAACACCGACCCAAGCAUUAAGUUAAAUGAUGAGGAUGCUCCAUGGAUACGGCACAAUCGUAAGCAAGCAGGGACACAAGGGAAGAAAUGA